CGACCGGCGCACGGGUGAGUAACGCGUAUGCAACUUACCUAUCAGAGGGGGAUAGCCCGGCGAAAGUCGGAUUAAUACCCCAUGAAACAGGGGUCCCGCAUGGGAAUAUUUGUUAAAGAUUCAUCGCUGAUAGAUAGGCAUGCGUUCCAUUAGGCAGUUGGCGGGGUAACGGCCCACCAAGACUACGAUGGAUAGGGGUUCUGAGAGGAAGGUCCCCCACAUUGGAACUGAGACACGGUCCAA
rnacentral:rRNA from 1 species